rnacentral:rRNA from 1 species
GACGAACCGUGCGAACGUUAUUCGGAAUCAUUGGGCUUAAAGCGCGUGUAGGCGGGUUCGUGCGUCUGUCGCUGAAAUCCCCCGGCUCAACCGGGGAAGUGGCGUGGAUACGACGAGUCUGGAGGGGCAUAGGGGGACCUGGAACUUCCGGUGGAGCGGUGAAAUGCGUUGAGAUCGGAAGGAACGCCCGUGGCGAAAGCGAGGUCCUGGAUGCCUACUGACGCUGAGACGCGAAAGCGUGGGGAGCAAACAGG